UGUAUAAAAUAUUUAAGGAAAAAAAAACCCAAACGACAAAAACUUUUUCGUUUCAUUUCUCUCUUCUCUCUUCUCUCUUCUCUUUUCUCUGUCUCUUUCGAUCGAUGGUACUAGCGGCCGAGGUCGAAGCGAUUUCGUCGGGAAGAUGAACGCCAGUUUUUGUAGCUCUCGUAUUGGCCUCUUCGGCUCUUCACCAAACCGCCUCCUGGGCUUCCUGCUCCUAGAAAGGAAGAAGUGGCGUCAAUUCUGUGGAGGAAAGGGGAAUUAAUCGGAUCUUCACCAAAGCGCCAAAGGAGAAUUCGGUGGAGAAGGCACAAGAUGAGGUAGUACAAGAGGAGCAACAGAAAGACUGUAAAGGUGUGAAGGUGGAUAAAGUGGGUGAAGCGUUUGUGGUUGAGACACUGGGUUGAGAUCAACUGUCCAUGUGGAAUAAACUACCGAACUCUCUUGUAGAAUGGUGACUGCUACUUUUUGCAGUUGUUGACAUCUUCACAUUAUUUGAUCAUCAUUCAUCACUGGAAGGAGUUCAUAGAGAAGAGUUUUAUAAUCUGUGUGAUGAUUGUUUGUGUUUUGUGAAAUUGGGAGAAAAGUUUUA